AGUACGAUGAACGACUCCACCAGUUAAGUGCAGCAUCACCUUUGCAAACAAUGGAAUAUUCCGGACACAGGGUGCAGUCACUAUCAUAGCAGCGAAGAGUUGCCUCGAGCACUUUUGGUCAGCUUGCGAGCGAAGAGUACAGAUGUUACCAGUCGUCUCUAUUUUGCAGUCAGAAGAUUGAAAAGUUUGCCGCACAUGGGAAGUACGUGCACUACCUGAUUGAGGGAUCGGUAUUGAUGUCUGGCUUCGGCUUCUACCACUGGGUUUUCCAGCUUGGAACCAUCCAGGAUUUCUUGGAGAGUUGUCUUUCUUUGACCUGUUCUUGGGCAGUGAUCUGGUAU